rnacentral:lncRNA from 1 species
AAAAAAAAAAAGUUUAUAAAAUGUUUGCUUCCAUAAGAAUGAAGAUAAAUCUGAACAACGAUUAGUAAUACCUAAAAAUGGUAGUAAAAUAGAAGGAAAAAGACCUGCAGGACCUACAGGACUUUUAUACUUCAGGUUCCAAAGGGCAAUCCUGAACUUCUUUCAGCCCAAGAACUCCAGGUUAAAGAACUGGACUCCUUGAAUACUUAAAGUAAUCAGAAGAAGUGAAUCAAAAGUUCAAAACCGAUCUCUCUCAGCCUUGUAAUUCAAAAAUCCAUUCUGUUUUCUUCUUUACUUUUCUAUUCUAUUCCUUUAAGCAUAUUCUUACACUGGCCUUAUCAAUGUACUGUCUGAGUACAUUUCUGAAUUGUGUUCUGUUCUGGUCUUGUUCUCUCAAAAUAAAUUAUCUGUAUUCUUGCAUGUU